AGGAUUUUAGUUUAAAAAACAUUUGAUUUGCAUUCAAAAAUUAUUGAUUUUUCAAUAUAUCUUA
rnacentral:tRNA from 1 species